rnacentral:rRNA from 1 species
GGCAAUGGAUAUCUCGGCUCCUGCAUCGAUGAAGAGCGCAGCGAAAUGCGAUACGUGGUGCGAAUUGCAGAAUCCCGCGAAC